rnacentral:rRNA from 1 species
AGUGAACGCUGGCGGUAGGCCUAACACAUGCAAGUCGAACGGCAGCACAGUAAGAGCUUGCUCUUCGGGUGGCGAGUGGCGGACGGGUGAGGAAUACAUCGGAAUCUACUUUUUCGUGGGGGAUAACGUAGGGAAACUUACGCUAAUACCGCAUACGACCUACGGGUGAAAGCAGGGGAUCUUCGGACCUUGCGCGAUUGAAUGAGCCGAUGUCGGAUUAGCUAGUUGGCGGGGUAAAGGCCCACCAAGGCGACGAUCCGUAGCUGGUCUGAGAGGAUGAUCAGCCACACUGGAACUGAGACACGGUCCAGACUCCUACGGGAGGCAGCAGUGGGGAAUAUUGGACAAUGGGCGCAAGCCUGAUCCAGCCAUACCGCGUGGGUGAAGAAGGCCUUCGGGUUGUAGAGCCCUUUUGUUGGGAAAGAAAAGCAGCAGGUUAAUACCCCGCUGUUCUGACGGUACCCAAAGAAUAAGCACCGGCUAACUUCGUG